GACCAAACGGCCGCGGAAUCCCAUUCCCAACGGCACAAACCGCGUUCGUAAGCGCGCGCACUUCAAAUUUGUUCCUCUCCCUCUCUCCAACUCCAACUCCGAUUUCUCAGCUGAGGAGCCACCAGAAACAAUCAAAAUGUGUCCAUGCCGGGAAGAUGAUUUACCAUUGAGUCUUGAAGUGCGCAGAGCACUGAAUGCUUUCAUUCGCCAAGUUGAAGAACAAAUAGCCCAACUUCAAGAACCAAGGGAUGGAGCUAGAGCAGUGUUAGGAGGCAUGGAGGAUGACCAAGGUUCAGAAGAUGACUCGGAUUCGGAAGAUGACCCGGAUUGGAAAGGUGAACCAGAUUCGGAAGAUGACCAAGAUUCGGAGGAUGACUUCUCACUGAGUGAAGAAUUCUGGUUCUUUUUUAUUAUUAUGUUCUUAUUCUGGUCUGCAUUUUUUCUCGUAGUUAGGUCUUGAUUCUCGUCAGGCGUUUGUGUGACCUUACUGCUCAACUAUGUAAUCAAGUGCGUAACGGCGAAGAAUUGGUUAGUGUGGCGUUUGUAGGGCGAUUUCUCA